GCCGCUGAGAGGCAGAGAGUGCCCGGCUGCCAGAGUCACUGAACUUUCAGAAGAGGAGCCACUGGAGAGAGGGGUCGGCAUGCUGAGUAAGUUAAACUGCAGAGGACACUCCUCCCAGCGCGUGGCCCAUGGGGAAGAGUCUCAACCUACCAGUUCCACAGACACAGAUACCAGCUGUAUGUGCUGAUCCUGAUAAAACCGACAGGCUGUAUAUGGGUGUUCAGCUUGUACACCACAUGCCUCCCUGGUGUCUACAGAUGUCAGAAGUGUCAGGUGCCCUGGAAUUGCGGUCAUGGAUGAUGGUGGACUCCCAUAUGGUUGUUGCAAACUGAACCUAGGUCUUCUGCAAGAGCAACAAGUUCUCUUAAC